AUCUGUUACCAGUUCUCCAGAAUUUACAAUUUUACAACAGAAAAUAAUUAGCAAACAACUAUUAUACAAGUGGAUGCACAUUUCUGUUUGAAUGUUUUUUACAAAUUUAAUUUAUUGGUUUUACUGUAUGUGGUUGUAUUAUAGAAAUUCUCUUGUGGACGUGGUGGAGGAGGCAACGAGAUCACAAUCUCAUUCACUACAUCCAUCAGAUCACCUGCUGCCGUUUCUAUGCCAUCAAUGAGACAACCUGCCAUCUUUGGUGAAGCAAUUGAAGCAAAUGCAGAAGAGCCGCCAGACAGAACAGUCACACAAACGUCUGUCACAAGCGAUCCAAUCUAUAAGCUCUGACAUUCCUGCAUGGAAUGACUGCAGAAUCCAAGCAAAGAAACAAACUUCAGCAGGAAGAGAUAUGCCUGAUUGUGUGAAGAAAUUUCAAAUGGAACAUUCAGUUGUAUGUGGUUUAUGAAGAUGGAGUGAGAUAGAAAGAUAAAGUCGGAUUGAAAGCUCUUCAUGUUCUCCGGCUAUCAGUAGGAAUAAUAGUGACACAUCAAAUGGUCUUCCUCUCCUGUCGUUGUGGUCACGUGAUGUUACUUAACCUGUCACGUGAUCUUACUCUACAGGUCACGUGAUGUUUGUAACGCUACAGAUGAGAACAAACGUUCCAUAGUGUGAAGACUGAAUAUUUAAUUCUAGAUACUUUUAUUUGUUUAAGAGAUGUUUUGUAUUAUGAAAUAUAGAGUAGAAUGUAAAUAGUAAACAAUGAUAUAGAAUACUCUAAAAUAGUUAUGAUUCACGAGUAUUUCCGGGUAAGCUAGUGGAACGUUAGAAAUAUUGAUACAAAACUUUGUUGUUAAUGCGUUACAUUUACAAUGAUGUGAUAUUCAAUUAAUCACGUGACUGGCUUGUUAUCCAGUGUGUCUGUUUCAGCUUGGA